rnacentral:rRNA from 1 species
GCGGCGGACGGGUGAGUAAUGCCUAGGAAUCUGCCUGGUAGUGGGGGAUAACGUUUCGGAAACGGACGCUAAUACCGCAUACGUCCUACGGGAGAAAGCAGGGGACCUUCGGGCCUUGCGCUAUCAGAUGAGCCUAGGUCGGAUUAGCUAGUUGGUGAGGUAAUGGCUCACCAAGGCGACGAUCCGUAACUGGUCUGAGAGGAUGAUCAGUCACACUGGAACUGAGACACGGUCCAGACUCCUACGGGAGGCAGCAGUGGGGAAUAUUGGACAAUGGGCGAAAGCCUGAUCCAGCCAUGCCGCGUGUGUGAAGAAGGUCUUCGGAUUGUAAAGCACUUUAAGUUGGGAGGAAGGGCAGUUACCUAAUACGUGAUUGUUUUGACGUUACCGACAGAAUAAGCACCGGCUAACUCUGUGCCAGCAGCCGCGGUAAUACAGAGGGUGCAAGCGUUAAUCGGAAUUACUGGGCGUAAAGCGCGCGUAGGUGGUUUGUUAAGUUGGAUGUGAAAUCCCCGGGCUCAACCUGGGAACUGCAUUCAAAACUGACUGACUAGAGUAUGGUAGAGGGUGGUGGAAUUUCCUGUGUAGCGGUGAAAUGCGUAGAUAUAGGAAGGAACACCAGUGGCGAAGGCGACCACCUGGACUGAUACUGACACUGAGGUGCGAAAGCGUGGGGAGCAAACAGGAUUAGAUACCUGGUAGUCCACGCCGUAAACGAUGUCAACUAGCCGUUGGGAGCCUUGAGCUCUUAGUGGCGC